ACCAGCUGAGUCGGGAUGGAUGGAUGGUCUGACUUCCCGAAGUGUUCUCAUCCACGUACAAAAAAAAAAAAAAAAAGCCACGCUUUAUGACUGAGAGGGGGAGCCGCCACCGAGCCGCGAUCACUGAGACCAAAGAUCCAUCGGGCAGUCCACCAGCUCUUCAGUGAUCCACUCAGACCUGCAAGUCCACGCCCCUUCUAGCUUCUAUAACUAGUAAGCUUAGCCACAAAGUGUGCCAGCCAGCCAAGAGACUGUCUCACCUCUGCUGGUGGGAUGCUUAUGCUCUGCCUAGAAAGCCUUUACUGCUUGUGACUAACGCUUGCUUAGCCAUCGUAUUUCAGCUGGGGCAGGAGUCCUUCCAAAAGACUUCUCUGAAACUCCGAAUUAGGAAACUUGCCUUUACC
rnacentral:lncRNA from 1 species